GGCGUCGCGGUAGUAGGCGUGGGUGACGCUGCGGAACCGCUCCUGGCCUGCUGUGUCCCAGAUCUGCAGUGACAGGCACAGCCCACGAGUCAGGGCUGCCAGCCCCUGUCCCUCACCCACCCCCCACCCUUCCACUCACCUCCCACGCCCCGCCUCCUCUCACCUGCAGCUUCACCUUCAUGCCGUCCACAUCCAGAACUUUGUUCUGAAAGACAGCCAGCCAGCUCCGCUGAGCCCCGCAGCUAGAGACAGUGCUGCCCCCUGCUGGGGGGCUCCUGAGGGUGCAGUGGGGGUGGCCGCAGUGCCAGGCCAGGACUGAGCCUGAGAUCUAGCAGCCCCUGGCAUGCCCCCGAAAUUCACUCUUUUUUUUUUUUUCUUUUUUUUUUCCGAAAUUCACUCUUAUCCUGUCUCCCUCAGCUGGCUGGUUCUAUCCCCGAUGCUCACCUCCUGGUUCUUGUCUGACCACUUCGCCUCCCUGAACCUGCAGGAAAUCCACGUGAACGUUGCUAUAGAGACGGCAGAGAGGAGCCGCAGCAGCUCGGAAUUGGACCUCCACCCAGAAGAGAGAGGAAAGAGUCACCCCAGGAAACAGCUGACGUCAGGAUGGGGUUCCCUGCCUCUGGAGUUUCUCACCUGCCCCAGGUCUGUGCACCCCCGCCCAGCUGCACACCUCGCCUCCAGGUGCACUCUGGGCGCCUUCUCAAGCGGCCUAUGGUGCCCCGUUUCCAGAACAACACCCUCCCAUUUCCCUCCA